UCCACUCACUAUUUCUCCUACAUACCAAGGAACUAAGUGCAGAGCUACACCCACAGAAGUUCAGCUAUACCACACGGACAUCCCUAUCACUUCACUCAUUCUGAAAAUUUUCAUUUGCUCAUCAAGAUCAUUUCGACAGAAUCCAGCACACAACAAACAAACAGGAUCAACACUCACUGAAAUUUCUCACAAGGCUUUGUGGAUCGUGAGGACUAGCACUGCUAUACCAAUUCAGAGUUAAGAAUAAACGACAGGCUUUGCCUAUUCAGGUGGGCUUAUUUUCCAAAUGUAUGAUUUAGCUAUUGAGCUUAAAUAUUUCAAUGAAAUGAAAACUGUUUAUCCAAUAAAUAUUUUUGUGCACUCUGCUCUGUUUAAGGCUCGCAUAAGUUAAUCGAUCGAGGUUCUCUUAUGACCUAACACGUUGUUUGAGAAUUGUGUACACCUAUUAGCUGACUCGGUGGGUUGAUCUCCAUCGGGCACUAAUCAUGUAUGAGGCGUUAUAAGGGUGCUCGACGGGAUGUGUUCCGGAGCAUUGGGUCCCAAAUGGGAGCUUGGCUGGGUUACGCCCUCAGUCCAAGUAAAGCAGGAGUAAUGGAUCCGUCGGUGGCUAAAAGGUCCGGGAUCACAGCGAGUAACGGAAAGGGAGUGUGACAAUUGCGCGCAAUAUAAUAAAAUGUUUUAACAUGCUUAGAAGUUAUUUUUGUUUUAAAACCUUCUAAGUCAUGUAAAGUAUAAUUGGAUAAACUGCUCUUAUGAUUAUGAAAUAUUUAUAAAAAUGCUAGCCCACUAAGUACAUUAGUACUUAGCCCAAAAUUUCUUUCAAAUGUUUUCAGGUUGAUUGGUCGGUGCUGACGGGGCAGAGCUGAGGCUAGGGUUCAACUCCGUAUUUUGUCUUCCGCUGUCGCACUAGCUCUUAUUUGUCUUUUAUUUCUCCAACUUAAGACUUUUAUGUUAAAUUCUGAAUUAUGUUUUCUUAUCGAGCUUAAACUCUCAACUUCUAGCUCUAUGUUAUUAACGUUGGUUAUCGGAAGCAUGAAACCGAACUUGUGAUCCUAAGGCUUAGAAUGUUGUUGAUUGAUUAAUAUCACUUGAUUUUUGUCUUUCUUCACUCAAAGGGCGUUCCCCGACUUUUUAUCCUAUUAUUUGAAUCCCACAAGGUUCUUUCCUUGUUUAUUUCUAUGAUUUUAGUCGCACCUCGAUUAUAGUUUAUUCC